UGGGGGAUAUUGCACAAUGGAGGAAACUCUGAUGCAGCGACGCCGCGUGAGUGAAGAAGUAUUUCGGUAUGUAAAGCUCUAUCAGCAGGGAAGAAAAUGACGGUACCUGACUAAGAAGCCCCGGCUAACUACGUGCCAGCAGCCGCGGUAAUACGUAGGGGGCAAGCGUUAUCCGGAUUUACUGGGGUGUAAAGGGAGCGUAGACGGCGAUGCAAGUCUGAAAGUGAAAUACCCGGGCUCAACCUGGGAACUGCUUUGGAAACUGUAUGGCUAGAGUGCUGGAGAGGUAAGCGGAAUUCCUAGUGUAGCGGUGAAAUG
rnacentral:rRNA from 1 species